GAUUGACCUCGGAUCAGGUAGGGAUACCCGCUGAACUUAAGCAUAUCAAUAAGCGGAGGAAAAGAAACCAACAGGGAUUGCCUCAGUAACGGCGAGUGAAGCGGCAACAGCUCAAAUUUGAAAUCUGGCUCCUUCGGGGCCCGAGUUGUAAUUUGCAGAGGACGUUUCGGGUGCGGCCCGGUCUAAGUCCCUUGGAACAGGGCGUCAUAGAGGGUGAGAAUCCCGUAUGUGACCGGUGACCAACCCCAUGUGAAACCCCUUCGACGAGUCGAGUUGUUUGGGAAUGCAGCUCAAAAUGGGUGGUAAAUUCCAUCUAAAGCUAAAUACUGGCCAGAGACCGAUAGCGCACAAGUAGAGUGAUCGAAAGAUGAAAAGCACUUUGGAAAGAGAGUCAAACAGUACGUGAAAUUGUUGAAAGGGAAGCGCUGGCAACCAGACCUGCCCCGGGCGAUCAGCGGGUGUUCUCACCCGUGCACUCGCCCGCGAUCAGGCCAGCAUCGGUUUCGGCGGUCGGAUACAGACCCGGGGAACGUGGCUCUCUUCGGGGAGUGUUAUAGCCCCGGGUGCAAUGCGGCCAGCCGGGACCGAGGACCGCGCUUCGGCUAGGAUGCUGGCGUAAUGUAUCA
rnacentral:rRNA from 1 species